CGAGUGGCGGACGGGUGAGUAAUGUCUGGGAAACUGCCCGAUGGAGGGGGAUAACUACUGGAAACGGUAGCUAAUACCGCAUAACGUCGCAAGACCGAAGAGGGGGACCUUCGGGCCUCUUGCCAUCGGAUGUGCCCAGAUGGGAUUAGCUAGUAGGUGGGGUAACGGCUCACCUAGGCGACGAUCCCUAGCUGGUCUGAGAGGAUGACCAGCCACACUGGAACUGAGACACGGUCCAG
rnacentral:rRNA from 1 species